AAGAUACUGUUGUUGUGCUAGCUUUCUUUAUUUACUAUGUAAGACCUCGCCACUAUAAAUUUGUCCUAUCAAUAGAUGUAUAUAUGUUUUGUCCGUCACAUCUCAGGAAUAACAGUACUGUAAAUUCUUGGGGUGUGACAAUAUACCUAUCUCUCUUGGAGACACAUCUCCAUCUUGGAGAUCUCUUCUGAUAACCCUCUGUCUUGAAGUCUAUAUACCUAUCUCUCUUGGAGACACAUCUCCAUCUUGGAGAUCUCUUCCGAUAACCCUAAAAAGGAGCCCCUUAAAAGGUUAUUAUUAUGAUGACCAUUUUUAUAGAGAUCAGUGAGUUUUUUUUUUGUUUCCACAAUACUUAUAAUCAUUAAAAGAAAAACCUAGAUUUGGUAAUUUUGACACCAAACCUACAAGUUUCACCUAGAUACAUAACGACCUUUAGGUAUAGAAAGGAAAACUUCAAUAGUGGGAAAUAUAAAGUAAAAUUUAUAGAUCAACAAUAGAACUAGGAAUAAUGUUAAAUCAAACAGAUGAGUACAAGGUUUGGCAUACGACGCGGUCAUUUGGUGGAUUUCAAACAUUUUGCUACCACAUCCCACACCAUUCAAGGUUAACAAUGGAUCGCACAAAAUCCAAUCCUACCAUUGAAGUACCCCAAAAAAUGUAAAAGUGGAGCCAGAAAACAUCGUCAAGGGUGAACUAACCAAUCGGUUCAAAUUUAACUCAAAGAAAAAGUUGAAUUUAAUGGAUUCUUUACCAAAGGUCGUUGCCAAACUAGUACAACAGUUGACGAGAUUGACUCCAAAAGACGCGCCUUUGGUGGACAAGAGUUAUGCUCUUGAGGGAGCCUAUUAUUCAUGCACUCCUAAGGAAAAACCUAUUUUAGGAAUAUGAAGGGAAAUAUUUCUAUGCUUCCCCUACGGCACAGAAGUUCUAUCCUCUCGCUACUAUACAGCCAUCCAAUUUUGUUCAAGAGAGUUACUCAUUGGUUGAUCUUAGAUCUGACGUUUCAAAGUAUUUUAUUUUUAGCUUUUUUUAUACAAAUUGUAUGAAUAUGAAAUUUGAUAAGUGCCAUCUUCUCAUUGGGGCACACCUAUAAAAAAUAUUAAAAAUAAUUUUUCGAUAAAAUAUACUGAUCAAAAUAGUCCUUUAAACUUUUAAGGGUAUUUUGGUUAUUUUAAUUUAUUGAAAAUUUUUGGUUUUAUAUUUUUCGCUAGUGCGAGUUUAAUAGAGGAAUGAACAUCCAAAUUUUGGUGUCAAAAUAAUUUAUAGAAAAAAUUAAAAAAAAAAUUGUGUAGAGACGUAACAUUGUGAUUGGGGCAAUCUUAGCCCUCCAUUCAGAAUGGACAGUUGGAUAAGGGGGAGGAUAUAACUUCUAUGCUCUAGAUGAAGCAUAGAAAGCUUGCCUAGUUUAAGGACUCCAAUUUUGGAGGACGUAAAUUCACCAUCCUAUAUCUUAUACUCAAUAAAAAGAAGGGAAAAUAUCUUCAUAGUUCCUAUUUUUAGGUUUAAUUCCUUGAUAUGCCCAUUCAAAGGGAAUAAAAGAAGAUAUUCUAGGGAACAAAAAAUAUCUUGUAACCCCUUAUCACUUUAAACCUAUUUUUUAACCUAAACAAAUGUAAGAAAUACAUUUUCACUUAUAUAUUCCAAACUUCUUUAUUUCUCUCUUUUCAUAUAUCUCUCACUUUCUCUCCUUCCAGUAACCUCUCACCUUCAUGAAGCUAUUUUUUCCUUCUAGAAGUUUGGGAUGAUGACUUUUAAAAAAGUCAUGUCUUUUUAAAUUUGUUUGACCUAAAAAAACAUGUUUAAAUUAACUCAGGGAUUAGAAGAAAUAGAAUUUAUAAAUUUUGUGCCUCAAGAUAUCGUUUAAAACUUUGAGUCUAUUGUGAAAUGAAACUUAAAAAUGAACAGCAUGGAGAUAUUUUCCUUAAAAGAAAUCUAAAAUGUGCUAUCUAUGGGCUUGAAAAAGAAUACCCCAAGAUUGAACCAUCCAAUUUUUUAGGGGUGAGAUCUAAAUUUGAGAAAACUCAGAAUUCAAUUUUUUCUUAUUUUGAAUAUAUUCAUCUGUCCUUUUUUUAAAAAAAAAAUUUAUCUUUUUUGUUGUUCCAAAAUUUCAUAUUAAAAAAAAAAUGAAAAAUUUAAUAUAACGUUGCAACCUUAAAGUGUAGAAUUAAAGAUCCAUCGGAAAAGAUUGUUUUAAUGCUGAAGCACACUCUAAUUGAUCAUCUCGAUAUCGGGAUAUAUGAAUAUGGAAAGAAAAAAGGAUUUUGAGUCCCAUAAAUAGUACAUCUCGCAACAUAUUAUCCAGACCGUCC
rnacentral:lncRNA from 1 species